rnacentral:lncRNA from 1 species
CUAGUGCAGACAGGCAGUUCUGAUUAUGUAUGCAAAUACAGGUCUGGCCCUGAAGCUUAUUUGAGAGCCACACAGCUCAGCUAAGCCACCCUGGAGAAAGAAUCUUACAAAGAAUACUAAAGAGCAUCCAAGUGUGAAGAAUGAAACACACAGAUGAGCCCCAAGAGGAUGAGGAAGGGAGAGGCUGGUGGGGGUCUGAUUCUCAUCUCCACCUUAACAGAAUGCACAUGAAGUCCAGCCAUGGUGUAGCCAAGGAGACCCACUAAGACCACCAAAAGCUUGGAAAUGAGGAUGCAGGGGCAAAGGACGGCAUUAUAGGCGGCUGACUCAGAGAUCCUACAACCGCUUCAGACCUCUGGAUGCCAAUCGAGAGUAUGUCCCUGUAAUGGGUGAGGCAAGCAGAAAGCUACUGUCUUACCUUCUUGGGAACUUCUGAACUUUUCCCCAAGGUGUAUGGAAGAAGCAGCUCUCCUCAGCUGGCCUGCCGA